rnacentral:rRNA from 1 species
UACGAAGGGGGCUAGCGUUGUUCGGAAUUACUGGGCGUAAAGCGCGCGCAGGCGGCUAUCCAAGUCAGUGGUGAAAGCCCGGAGCUCAACUCCGGAACUGCCAUUGAAACUGUUUAGCUUGAGGAUGAGAGAGGUGAGUGGAAUUCCCAGUGUAGAGGUGAAAUUCGUAGAUAUUGGGAAGAACACCAGUGGCGAAGGCGGCUCACUGGCCCGAUACUGACGCUGAGGUGCGAAAGCGUGGGGAGCAACAGG